UACGUAGGCAGCAAGCGUUGUUCGGAGUUACUGGGCGUAAAGGGUGUGUAGGCGGUUCCCUAAGUUUGGUGUGAAAUCUCCCGGCUUAACCGGGAGGGUGCGCCGAAGACUGGGGGACUAGAGUGUGGGAUGGGUAAGUGGAAUUCCUGGUGUAGCGGUGAAAUGCGAAGAUAUCAGGAGGAACACCGGUGGUGUAGACGGCUUACUGGACCAUAACUGACGCUGAGGCGCGAAAGCGUGGGGAGCGAACAGG
rnacentral:rRNA from 1 species